rnacentral:misc_RNA from 1 species
GCCAGGUAAACUUUUUACACCAUCACUUGAUGCAACUGACUCCACUGAAGACAAAUCCACAUAGAGAAUGUUUGUAUUGGUAGGAAACUCUGCCUGCAAACUUUUAGAAUAACAAGGCCCACUUGUGAUUCCAAACUUAUCAAACUCUGUGUACUCAAUGCAUGACAGACCAUAGGCCCACUUUCCAUCAAGAGUCUUCUUCUCGAU